rnacentral:tRNA from 1 species
UGGCUCAGUUGGUAGAGCAUGGCGCUGGCAACGCCAGAGUUGUGCGUUUGACUCCCAU